rnacentral:rRNA from 1 species
GCAGCGACGCCGCGUGGAGGACGAAGCCCUUCGGGGUGUAAACUCCUUUCGACGGGGACGAAAACCUCGCAAGAGGCUGACGGUACCCGUAUAAGANGCCCCGGCUAACUACGUGCCAGCAGCCGCGGUAAUACGUAGGGGGCGAGCGUUGCUCGGAAUUACUGGGCGUAAAGGGUCCGUAGGCGGUUGGGUAAGUCGACGGUGAAAUCUCCCGGCUUAACUGGGAGGAGUCCGCCGAAACUGCCUGACUCGAGGGCCGGAGGGGCGAGUGGAAUUACCGGUGUAGCGGUGAAAUGCGUAGAUCUCGGUAGGAACACCGGAGGCGAAAGCGGCUCGCUGGACGGCACCUGACGCUGAGGGACGAAAGCUGGGGGAGCAAACAGGAUUAGAUACCCUGGUAGUCCCAGCCCUAAACGAUGGUCACUAGACGUGCCGCGUGUUCGCGCGGCGUGUCGCAGCUAACGCGCUAAGUGACCCGCCUGGGGAGUACGGUCGCAAGGCUA